GGGGAAUAUUGCACAAUGGAGGAAACUCUGAUGCAGCGACGCCGCGUGAGUGAAGAAGGUCUUCGGAUCGUAAAACUCUGUCCUUGGUGACGAAAAAAAUGACGGUAGCCAAGGAGGAAGCCCCGGCUAACUACGUGCCAGCAGCCGCGGUAAUACGUAGGGGGCGAGCGUUGUCCGGAUUUACUGGGCGUAAAGGGUGAGUAGGCGGUAAUAUGUGUCAGAUGUAAAAGGCUAUGGCUUAACCAUAGUAAGCAUUUGAAACUGCAGGGCUUGAGUGCAGGAGAGGAGAGUGGAAUUCCUAGUGUAGCGGUGAAAUGCGUAGAUAUUAGGAGGAACACCAGUGGCGAAGGCGACUCUCUGGACUGUAACUGACGCUGAGGCACGAAAGCGUGGGGAGCAAACA
rnacentral:rRNA from 1 species